CAGAGAGGGUGCGAGACCUGUACGGAAAGUAGUAUAGUUGGUAUGGUUACUCCUUGGAGUCGGGUUGCUUGAAAGUGCAGCCUAAAGUUGGUGAUAAACUUCAUCUAAGGCUAAAUAUCGACGCGAAAUCGAUAGCAAACAAGUACCGUGAGGGAAAGUUGCAAAGAACUUUGAAGAGAGAGUUCAAGAGAACGUGAAAUCGCUGAAGUGGAACCGGAGAGAGUUAACAUAACUUGGUAGCUAUAUCCUCUAAAGUCGCUUAACUGUGGCUCUGGGGGGUGGACGCUACCUGUUGUUGCACUGACUGCGUUGAUUGUGCUUUCCGAACAGUAUAGUGUUGCCCACUUUGUGGUGUCUUGCUUUCUGGGAGGUUUGUCAUAAUUAACGUAAAGCCAAUUCCCUUUGGAGUCAGUGUGAAAGUUAACCACCUUUCCGACCCGUCUUGAAACACGGACCGAGGAGUGUAAUUUAUACGCGAGUCAAGGGGUGGUGAAAACCCUAGGGGCGGAAUGAAAGUAAAGGCCGGUUAACCGGUUGACAUGGGAUCCGCUCUUCGGAGCGGCGCACCAUGGCCCUGUCUUGUCUGCUUGCAGAUGGGCAGCGGUAGAGCGUAUAGUUUGCGACCCGAAAGAUGGUGAACUAUGCUUGAGCAGGACGAAGCCAGAGGAAACUCUGGUGGAAGUCCGUAUCGGUUCUGACGUGCAAAUCGAUCGAUAGAC
rnacentral:rRNA from 1 species